CCGCCUGUAGCUCAAUUGGCAGAGCAGCUCCCUUUUAAGGAGAAGGUUGGGGGAUCGUGGCCCUCCAGGCGGA
rnacentral:tRNA from 1 species